rnacentral:lncRNA from 12 species
CCCCCCCCCCCCCCCCCCCCUGGGUAGAAAAUUGGUAGAAAAUGAUAUUUUUCCUCUGUUUUCUGAUUUAGAUAUUGCCAUGUCCACUGUUGGCACUGCUGAAAGGAUAGAAGACUUUUCUACAGAAGUGACAGUGUACCGCUGCAGGAACUGUAACAGCUGCACAUGCAAGUCUGGGGCAAAUGAUUUUGAAAACUUUAAAAAAAUCGCUGACACACAAAACAACAUAUUUUCAGAUGUAAUAAUAGAGUUGGAGACCAAUAAAACCCACACCACUGUUUGUUUUGAGGAACCAAAUUUCUGUCUUGAAGAAGUUUAUGGCAUCUUCUGGAGGAGAGAUGGGGGAUCAGGACUCUCGUGUGGCACCCUGAGUUCUGGAGAAAAUGGAAGAGGUGACAUCAGUACUGAGAAGACUAUUUGCUGUGAAGCAGAGACAGAUACCAGGAGAUACAAUCCUGAAGUGAAGUGCUUCUACACUCAAAAGUCACGUCCAAAACUCAAGACACUUCCAGUUGGCGAUCCUGCUGAGAGAAUUGCAGAUGGGGCCAGUUCCUUUGUGUGGUGCUCACGAGGCAGUUCAUGGCUUGGCACUCCUGCUUGCUUCACUUGGAUGCUCUGUUUUCUUCUGCUCUGCAGCUUGUAGGCGAGGCCGACAGGCUCCUGAAGGAGAAAAUCUUGUACAUGUUUGAUAACCAUCUCCAAAAGAGAAGCUCUGCCAGCAGCAUCCUGCUCCUCCUACUUUCUCUAAGGAUGUACAGCAAUCAACUGAACACAGACUGAUUUUUCCAUGAGAACUUCUGCCCUUGUAUUCACAAACAGUUGUGUUUUCACAAAUGUACUUUCACCACAUCCUCACCCUCCAUCAACAACACGAACAAUACCUGUCCAUUCCUCCAGUUCCACUUCCAUACAAAGCAAAAUUAUAUUUAUAAAGACUUCUGUAAUUGAGGAAUGCCACCAGAGCUCCUGCACGAUCAGAGGCUCCAUUGCUGUGACUGAUUUUGGCAAUCUAAGGUGGGACAGUAACAGUUCCCUCUGUUCUGUGAUUACUGCUCUGGAUUUUUGAGUCAGAGCAAAACUUCACAUCUACAAGAGCAGAUGCCCCCAUGUAUGGCUGUGGUCACUUUGCUGGGGGGCUGUGCUGUGC